GACCUACUGGUGCUUACCACAGGCUGUGUUCUUACACUGACUGUAUAGAAAAAGGAGGUAGCGUAAAUCUACCCCAUAUGUACGUAAGUCCAGGCUCUGUGCCUGGUCUAUAUUGUGAAUGGAGGUACACUG
rnacentral:snoRNA from 1 species